rnacentral:misc_RNA from 1 species
AACGCACCUUGCGCUCCUUGGUAUUCCGAGGAGCAUGCCUGUUUGAGUGUCGUGAAACUCCUCAACCUCCCCCAAUCUUGGCGCGUGAGGCUUGGACGUGGGGUGUGCCGGAUCUUGAAUGGAAGGUCUCGGCUCCUCUGAAAUGCAUCAGCAAACCCGUGGUGGUGAAUGCUUUGGUUUGAUAAUUCCAAUUUGGUCUUGAGCCAUCGCUGUCUGCUCGGAUUCGCUUAUAAUCGGCUCAUCAUCUCACGAUGAACCUUUUGACACUCUGACCUCAAAUCAGGUAGGACUACCCGCUGAACUUAA